ACUGUGGUAAUUCUAGAGCUAAUACAUGCUAAAAACCUCGACUUCGGAAGGGGUGUAUUUAUUAGAUUAAAAACCAAUGCCCUUCGGGGCUCCUUGGUGAUUCAUAAUAACUUAACGAAUCGCAUGGCCUUGCGCCGGCGAUGGUUCAUUCAAAUUUCUGCCCUAUCAACUUUCGAUGGUAGGAUAGUGGCCUACCAUGGUAUCAACGGGUAACGGGGAAUUAGGGUUCUAUUCCGGAGAGGGAGCCUGAGAAACGGCUACCACAUCCAAGGAAGGCAGCAGGCGCGCAAAUUACCCAAUCCCGACACGGGGAGGUAGUGACAAUAAAUACUGAUACAGGGUUCUUUUGGAUCUUGUAAUUGGAAUGAGUACAAUGUAAAUACCUUAACGAGGAACAAUUGGAGGGCAAGUCUGGUGCCAGCAGCCGCGGUAAUUCCAGCUCCAAUAGCGUAUAUUAAAGUUGUUGCAGUUAAAAAGCUCGUAGUUGAACCUUGGAUCUGGCUGAUCUGUCCUCCUAAUCGAGCGCACGGAUUCGGCUGGAUCUUUCCUUCUGGGGAGCCUUAUGCCCUUCACUGGGCGUAAUGGGGAACCAGGACUUUUACUUUGAAAAAAUUAGAGUGUUCAAAGCAGGCCUUUGCUCGAAUACAUUAGCAUGGAAUAAUAGAAUAGGACAUCGGUUCUAUUUUGUUGGUUUCUAGGACCGCUGUAAUGAUUAAUAGGGAUAGUCGGGGGCGUCAGUAUUCAAUUGUCAGAGGUGAAAUUCUUGGAUUUAUUGAAGACUAACUACUGCGAAAGCAUUCGCCAAGGAUGUUUUCAUUAAUCAGUGAACGAAAGUUAGGGGAUCGAAGACGAUCAGAUACCGUCGUAGUCUUAACCAUAA
rnacentral:rRNA from 1 species